CUAGCAACACCCAAGAGUACGCCUGACUGUAUUGGAGAUAAAACACAAACUUUACAAUUCGGAGAAAUGAGUAGUGAAUAUAUGCAUGGUUGCCUGCUGAUCACUAAGACAGCUCUAAGAAUCCCGAAGCACUCUGAAGUUCUUGGAACAUGGAUGCCCUUCCUUCACUGUAGGUUUUCCCUCACUCAAGUGGCAAUGCUCACUUUUCUACCACUUGGAUUUCUUCCCUGA
rnacentral:lncRNA from 1 species